AUCUAACUGGGAACCUGUGAACUAUGGAGAGAAGUGAGACGUGGGAGAGAAGGAGUGUUGAUGAGAUGCUGAAAAGAGAGGAGGAAGAGGAGGAGGAAAAUGUCCUGGUUGAGAGCCUCAGACAAGAGGUAGAGGGCCAGGAGGAGCUGCAGGUCUCCGACACUGAAGAUGAGGAGGGAUCCACUCCCCUCAUCACUGCCUGUCAUAAAGGCAUGACUGAGGUAGUACAGCGGCUGCUGAGGGGCGGGGCUGAUAUGACCCUGUGCAACUACAGUCAGCAGACAGCGCUCCACACAAGCCCUCCUGAGCUCCAGGGGAAAGUGUUGGGGUGGAUGUUGAGGCCUCAUCUGCCUCCCCAGGCACAGCUGCUGCAGGCUGCCUGGCAGGGAGACCUGCACUCCCUACAGAACCUGCUGGUAAGACUCCCCCACAGAUACAGAUUAUCUGGUAGAGGAUUUCCCUAAUGAGCAAAGACAACAAAGAUUUCCUGUUACAAAAACAUUCAAUGUUUGUUGGGUAAUUGUUUGUAAACCUGCCAAGCAAAGGUUCGGUUGUACUAAAACUGAUUUCUGGCAUGGAUUCCUGACUGACAGUAUAUAUAAACCUCUAAAGAAGAAAAAGUUUUGAGGAUUUAAUAAAAAAAAUUUAAGAAUAAAAAAACACAAUAACAUCAACAACUCACAGACUUCACGAGGCGUUUCUUGACACAUUUGAAAAUGAAAACGCAUUCCUGAGUCUUAUUCAGUUCAGGACAACAAACAGGCCUGCCAGUCUCAUGAUGUCCUUGUGUGACUUUGUGUAACUGGAAAUGUGAGACAUUUCAUCAGGUGCUUUUCAUUUAAACAAUGAGUUUAAUCUAAAUGGCAGGCACUAUGUGAAUAGUGUGUGGGACUGUGUGUUUUCUGUUUAUGGCCACCAAAUGUAUUUACUGCUGUUGCACAUGCAUUUCUUUGGGUGUUUAAAACUGCUUUUCUCUGCACUUGUUUCACUUGUUGGAAGUGGAGAAAGGUGAUGUCAUGUAUUUCUGGAACAAAUCAGGAUUUGGGUGUGUGUGUGUGUGUGUGUUCACAGUUAUGACAUUAAGUUAACAUUUUAACUUCCACAUUUAAAUAGACAACAAACUAAAGCAUAGCUAUACAUAAUGCUGGGGGGAAUUAAAGGCGAGUUGUCUAUGUAUAUGUGUGCUAUAUGCUCCCCUGUCUGGGACCUUAACACUUUAUACGUUACUCCAAGC
rnacentral:lncRNA from 1 species